CCACAUAAGAAAUUGAUGUUUUAACAUUAAACUUAUCUUUGCAGGUCGACUGCGACUAUCUAUAAUAUUCUUGGAUGUUCUAUGAUCAUCUUCUCCUCUGAAGCAUGUGUGUUAGGAGGUGAGUUUGACCAAAACAGAUCUUCUACAUGAAAUUUGAAAGCUUGAUCCGUGCUCCAGCUGAGUCGUUGUACAUGAUUUAUACCUACAAAUCAAUAUACAAGAAUUAAAACCAAACCUCAAGAUCAUCGAAAACCAGAAACUGAUUGUAAUUAAAAACUUAUCUUUGCAGGUCGACUGCGACUAUCUCUAAUAUUCUUGGAUGUUCUAUGAUCAUCUUCUCCUCUGAAGCAUGUGUGUUAGGAGGUGAGUUUGACCAAAACAGAUCUUCUACAUGAAAUUUGAAAGCUUGAUCCGUGCUCCAGCUGAGUCGUUGUACAUGAUUUAUACCUACAAAUCAAUAUACAAGAAUUAAAACCAAACCUCAAGAUCAUCGAAAACCAGAAACUGAUUGUAAUUAAAAAUAAGCAAGCUGCAAAGAAUUCAAUAAACUUUCCUUAUUCACCAAGGAUCUGCUAUUGUAGAUGAC
rnacentral:lncRNA from 1 species